rnacentral:tRNA from 1 species
GCGUUGGUGGUUUAGUGGUAAAAUUCAUCGUUGCCAUGCAAGGUUGUAGCCUCCCCAGGAGCAGCCCCUGAAAAGGGGUUCUCCCGAGAGCUCAACACCAUGUUUCGAUGAGCCCCGGGUUCGAUUCCCGGCCGACGCA